GUCUCCGUGGUUGCUAUUACCCAAUUGAUGGGAACAGACACUGGCCAGAAAAGUGACAAAUAUCCUUUGAAAGAAUGCCGUCUCCUCCUAAGUUUGACUUCUCUCUCUCGGGACCCGACCCGGUCAAGUUCUGCUUUCUCUGUGAGGCUUCCCCACAAGGGUUCAAUCACCAGUGAGAACUAUUUCCUCUGAAGUCCAAUCUGGUCAGUGUUUCUGCAGAUAUAUCCUCAUUUCCUACUGGAUUUUGAGUUCCCUUGAAGGCAAGACAUAUGUCCCUGAUUUAAUUUCAUGCCCUAAAAAAUAAAAAUAAUAAUAAUAGUAAUAAUAAUAAUAAUAAUAAUAAUAAUUUCGUGCUCUGACAUAAAACAUAGCUUUCAACCUUCUUGCUAAUCAACUACCAAGCUUUCUGGAAGAUUUGGCCAUGUUGGUUCUAUUUCUUCUCUUCUGCUUACUCACCUUCUUAAUGUCAUCUGCCUCCUACCUUCACCCUUACACUAAUACUGCUUUUGACAACAUGGACAUGGAACUCUUUCUUGCUAAUUUCUAACUGGCAUUUUUUAAAAUCAGAAAUUACCCAUUUUCUAAUCCAAAUAUUUCAGGAGCAUGGACACUAAUGACCACUCCCCUCUGAAAUACUCUUUUUACUCCCUUGGUACUGCUCUUUCCUGUUGGUCCUUUUCUUCCCUGUAUUCCAGCAUCUUUCUCACUCCCCUUCACGAGACCUUCUUCCCCUUCUUGUCCUUUAAAUGCUGGUCCUAUGCCUUCUUGUCUUUUUAUCCUGUACAUUCUUACUGAACAACUAACUCCUUUAUCUUCAAUUAAAGUCCAUAUACUGAUGACCCCCAAAUCUAGUUUUCUUGCUCAAGCCGCUCUUCUGAGCUUCACACCUAUAAAUUGGCUUGUGAGACAUCUCUAUUUGGAUAACUUAGAAGCCUCUCAUCCUAAUCUGUCUAAGACGAAACCCUUCAUCUUUCCUUUCCUACUAUAUUUUCUCUUUAAUGAAUGGCACCACCAUCUACAGGCUGCCAAAUCAGAUACCUGGCAAAAAUCCUUGUUGCUCCUGCCUCCGUUGAGAUGCUUUUUUGAUUUGUGUGCUUCUCUGUCCUCACCUGCAUGUCCCCUGGCUCAUCCUGCAUCAGAGCAAGAUUCUCCUAAGCGUUAUCCUCACCUUUUGGUUAUUUUAAUCCAUUCUACAUAUCACAACCAGAACUAUCUUCUAAAAUACAAAUCUAAUUUUCAAACAUGUUCAUGACACAUUGGCACUUGGUCCUAUACAAUCUGGCCUGACCACUUCUCAGCCUUCUCUCUUGCCACCUCACUCCUGGACGCUGAUUAGCUAGUUUUCUCAACCAUGCCUGGAAUCCCUCCAUCCCAUCUUAUACCUGGUUAAUUCCUAUUUCACUAGGAGCUUUCAGCUAGAAUGUCACUUCCAAAAGGAAGUUCCUCCAACCCUGCAAUGCUAUGUUAGGUGACUGUGACCACCGUUAAGGACAUUGUAAAUGCUCCCAUUCUCCUUUUGGGCACAAGGUUGGGUUGCACAUUCCCACCUCUUGAAGUAUGUUGCGAUCACAGGUCUUGCUCCGGCCGAUGAAAUGUAAUCAGAAUUAGUGUGUGUCACCACGAGUCAGGAGCCUUUAGGAGCCAGGGUGUGAUUAGCCAUACUAGUUUUCUCUCUCAAGGCAAUUGCCAAACUCCAUCUCAUCUACAUAUCUCCCAGUAAACUAUAUGCUUACUGGGGACAGGGAUCACACCUGUGUUAUUCAUCUUUCUAUCUCCAGCACCUAGGGAAUGUCUGGCACUGAAUAAAUAAAGAUAAUAAUAGCAAACACUUUUAUAGUGCACUUGAUACAUAUUCAUUCCUUUAUUGCACACAAUAAUCCCAGAAGGAAGGUUCUUAUCCUUAUCCUUAUUUUACUGAUGAGGAAGUAGAGUGAUAGGGAGUUUAAGUAACUUGGGCAAGAUUACACAGCUGGGAAGUAGCAGAGCUGAGAUAUGAAGCCAGACACGUCUAGGUCCGGAGUCUGCACUCUCAACCACUAUACUAUGCAUGCUUUCUUUCUAAGUAAAUGCUUAUGGGGUGAAUGAAUGGUAACUGAAUGGAUAAACUGGUGUUUGAGCAACUACCUGUGUUUCUGUAAAUGGAGAAUUUUCUCUCUCCUCCCCCUUUCCUCUGGCUCAUCCAACAUGCAUACCCGAUGAACUCGGCUCAGUCACCUCUUCAGGAAGGCUUCUUUGAUCCUCUCCCAUGGGAGUCAGAUACCCUACUACUGGGCUGUCUCAGUCCGCCAUGAAUACCUCCAAUAUUGCACACUUGCCCCACUGAACUGUAAUUAUUGGUCAGUUUGUCUAUCUUUCCCUUCAGACUGUGAGCUACUCAAGAUGAAUUACUGGGUCAUAUUUGUCCAUGCUUAAGUAGCUACUUAGUGCUUAAAACAUUACAAACGGUUCAUAAAUGUUGAUUGAAUAAAUACAAGAAAAACUGAA